AUUGUACUCCCUCCGUCCGACAAUACUUGUCAUUGAAAUGGAUGUAUCUAGAUGUAUUUUAGUUCUAGACACAUCCAUUUUGAUGACAAGUAAUUCCGGACGGAGGGAGUACUUG
rfam:Triticum aestivum genome assembly, contig: Triticum_aestivum_CS42_TGACv1_scaffold_613026_7DL